UACAGAGACUGCAAGCGUUAUUCGGAUUCACUGGGCGUAAAGGGUGCGCAGGCGGCCGAGUGUGUGAGGCGUGAAAGCCCGGGGCUAACCCCGGAAUUGCACCUCAAACUACACGGCUAGAGCAUUGGAGAGGGUAGCAGAAUUCAUGGUGUAGCAGUGAAAUGCGUAGAUAUCAUGAGGAAUACCAGAGGCGAAGGCGGCUACCCUGGACAAUUGCUGACGCUCAGGCACGAAAGCGUGGGGAGCGAACAGG
rnacentral:rRNA from 1 species